AGACUGUGAAAAGAACGUUGAGAACAUCACCACUCUACAGGAAGACACAGUCCAGUAAUGGGUGUCAGAAGUUCAGUAGUGAACGACAGAAACAAACAAUCCAAAUUACCUGCAGAAAGCCCUUGAUGGACGCUUCAGCUGCAUCGUCAGACUGGCAGUACUGAUGCAUUUACUGAGAGGGGACGUGAGGGCCUACUCUGCGUGCUCAGAGUUCAAGCCCAGCAGGCUGCAGCGGGCCUGACAUAUUCUGGAACAGCAGCACAGUCUUUGGAUGACUCCUCUGAAGAUGAAAACAUGGCGAGUUCUUCUCAAGAGAAGCAGUACAGGUGUGCCUCAGCUCCACGGUCCCUCCUGCAGCCUCCGCUCCUGAUGCUAACCUCAUGUCUCCAUCACACCAAGCAGCAGACCUGGAUUGACAGACCUUUCUCCAGAGCUGCCCCCUCCCUCUGAAACCCCCCUCUCCAAAACACUAUUUGUGUAGUUUUUAAAGUAUUUUUUGCAUGAGAAUUGUUGAUCAUAACAUUUCCAGCAGAUGCCUUAAUAUAAUGUUUGUGCACAAUAAAUGACAUUGA